rnacentral:rRNA from 1 species
CCCUUAGAUGUUCUGGGCCGCACGCGCGCUACACUGAUCGAUUCAACGAGUGUUUUGGUGUUUGCCAUUGCGCAGCACCGAGUUCCUUUGCCGGAAGGCAUGGGUAAUCUUUUCAACGUCGAUCGUGAUGGGGCUAGAUUCUUGCAAUUAUUAAUCUCCAACGAGGAAUUCCUAGUAAACGCAAGUCAUCAGCUUGCAUUGAAUACGUCCCUGCCCUUUGUACACACCGCCCGUCGCUCCUACCGAUCGAAGAGUUAGGUGAAUUGUUUUGAUCGAUAAGAUUUGACUAUGGUCAACUCUCGUUGUGAAAUUCUGUGAAUCUGACUGUUUAGAGGAAGGAAAAGUCGUAACA